CUCUGUGACUCCUACGGGGAGGCAGCAGUGAGGAAUAUUGGUCAAUGGGCGAAAGCCUGAACCAGCCAUGUCGCGUGCAGGACGACUGCCCUAUGGGUUGUAAACUGCUUUAUAUGGGGAAGAAAUGCGAGUACGUGUACUUGUUUGCCGGUACCAUAUGAAUAAGCAUCGGCUAACUCCGUGCCAGCAGCCGCGGUAAUACGGAGGAUGCGAGCGUUAUCCGGAUUCAUUGGGUUUAAAGGGUGCGUAGGCGGAAGUGUAAGUCAGGGGUGAAAGUUUGCAGCUCAACUGUAAAAUUGCCUUUGAUACUGCAUUUCUUGAGUACAUUUGAGGUAGGCGGAAUGUGUUGUGUAGCGGUGAAAUGCUUAGAUAUAACACAGAACACCGAUUGCGAAGGCAGCUUACUAAACUGUAACUGACGCUGAUGCACGAAAGCGUGGGGAUCGAACAGGAUUAGAUACCCUGGUAG
rnacentral:rRNA from 1 species